AACGAUUACUAUGUUKAAUAAUAAGCUCUUCUUAGCGUAGAAAAAUUGAGUUAWAAUGCUCAAAAAGAUAGCAUUGCUUUGARAAGAUAAAAAAGGGGCUUGGUCUGAAAAUUGCAACAGCUCAGUGGAAAGAUUAUUAAACRAAAAACGGGAUUGCAGACCGUGCAGAGURUGAAAUCAUCUUGUMAAAUUCUAAUAAUMUUCUGCGCAGAUAAAAGAAAGGAAAGUGAAUUCGAAAGAAAAAGUAAACAGAAGAGCGCAGAGUGAAAUGGGGGAGAUUCAUCGUUUCAGAUUGAGUAAAUUAAAAUCAAAAUCGAGAGAGUAUCAAAGACCUCAUUAGUAUCUAAGAACGAACGAAUCCAGGCUUGGAAAAUGUCUAGACAAAGUCUUCCCUCCAGCCAACCACUUCAUGAUCCAGUAGUUGACCUAGAAGUUAAUAAACGAUUCUCUUCUUUCGUGAUGUGCUCUAAUUACUACAAUAAUGUUGGGACGAGCUUAUCUCAAUCGGUCCCCUUACCACUAAUUGGGCUCGAAUUAUCGCUUAGAAAAAACUGUGGCACGCAAAUCAAACGCGAACGCAUUUAUGAACAGUCAAUGAAUGGUUUGCUACCUUAAACUAGCAUGUUGAUAAUACCACAUCAUUAUGUGCUCCUGAGAGUUACGUGCAAGAUUAAUCUCUCACGGAAACCGCGCACACUUCUAAGCAUUUCCUUCUGACUUUAAGAACAUGAAACUAUAGAUUCACAAACACCGUGGUUUGAUGGUCUGAUUUCACAGCAAAAAAUCGCAAAUUAUUAGGCUACGUUGAACAAUAAUGCACUUGUCUGCCAUAUCCAUUUAGAGACUGCCAGCGGCUGUUCAAAGUAAUCAUGACGCCUUACGCACCUCACGAAUCACACGUGGAAUCACGCAGAAUCUUGCGCGCACGGCAGACGAGUAUAAAAUGAGCUGUUUACAAGCAAAUUGCAUCCAUAAGCUCACUACCGUUAGAACAGACACGACAGAAUUGCUCAUUGUUUUUCAGAGGAAGUAUACAUUGUUGCUUGCCAAAAAGCCAUCCCAAUCAAAACAUAAAAACAUAUAAAAGAAGACUGGCGCAUGCGUGGUACAUUUGAUGAAACCUCCUUCCCUCCUACUGCGAAAGACUUGACUUAAUCUUCAAUCAACUUCGGCAACGCGCGGUUCAAGAUCAAAAACAGAGUUCUCCGUCGCACACCGGUGCUAUAACUUGUACCAAAACAACGGUAGCAGCGUUUCAGCAAACGACAUAGCUACUAAGGGCACCUGGUUUGAUUCUAUUUGGUUAUAUUCCGUGAAAUUUCGACCAAUUUUCACGAGAGGAAAGUGUAAAGCGAGGUGAGAGAAAACAAACAAACAACUUGCAGGGUCGGCAGAGAGACAUUACAUCCACGUGGCGGUCAAAAAGGACGCAUUGCAGGCCCGUUUAAAGAAUCAAAACACCUAAAAAGACAUUAAGGACUAUCCUAAACGCAACGAAACUGCUUGUUUGCUAUACCAACAAGGAACUACUCGUUCAAAACGACGAAAUGUGUCGACCAAAAACGCGCGAAGAUCGAAGGCUGUCAGAAGGAACUCACGGCCUCUAUACAGGACAAAACAACGACGCUCUGGUGAUAUCCCAUGUGGCCACACAACUUGCCCAAAUAGGCGACAAACUGGAGUUAACAUACCAAAAGAAUAGCCAGAAAGAUCAGGACUAUUUUAGCAUAAAAGCAGUUUGUGUUAUGGCGGUUUUUGUGGCGUUACGUUUGGCUCUUUGACCAGCAAACUACGAGGAGUGCCAUGAACUUUGAACACGCAUAUACAAUCCUUAAGAUCAUGGCUUUACUGUCGUWAACGGUCAAUUCCAAUAGCAGGCUAGAUUCUUCGUGUUUAUUGCUGUUCAACGCGCUGUACGACUCUCGCGCAAAGGAAACGAACAUCAUGUUGUAAGCCCAGUAGAUGAUCUUGGAAGUACUGCACAAUGGCGGCGAUCAUAGCGGUCGAAACUGGGUGACUACAAACCAGGGAAAGCAAGACUAACUGACAGGGUAGAAAUAAGCUUUAUCGAACCAAUUCAUUUUGUAAAUGAUGGAAUUAGAAAGCGUAUGUUCCGGAGCUGGUGCAAGAGAAAGGUGUGAGCUUCUAUACUAACGCCAUAUUAUUUUUGAUUCGAACCAGAAGAAAUUUAUAAAUUCUAUUAUUUGCUGUAAAAAAGCAGAAAAAAACUAUAUAAAAAAAUAGAAAAAUAUAGAUUUUGCGAAUGCGCGCUUGAAAAGGUAUCCUUACUUGCAAUCAGAAGGCAAAGAAAUAUCGUAAACAAAGCCAAAUCCCGAUCGUAAAUCCAACUCGCUGAACUUAWACCCUCAAACUUACAGGAACUGGUGGUAGAAAAUAGUUGAACCUUCAGAAUAUUUUAGUGCAUAUGGAGCCUGUGGUAAGAGGUUUAGAGUUAGACAACAGGAUUCUACCAAAUAAGACAUGCUAUAUGCUCUAACUUCGAGAUUAGUUUCGACGACAUCAAGAAUUCUGCAGGAUGUAGCAAACCCGGAAGCCCAGUUAUUGCAAAAACCGGGCAAAAAACCUCUGCGUAGGUGUAUAUUUUCAAAUUCACUGUAAUMGAGAGAUUUAUGAAUGUGCACCGAAGAAAAAUAUUCUGAAGUAUAUGAAGCAAAGACUGAUUUCWAACGCUAAUAAAAAUGACAGGACAACACGAA